UACGGAGGGUGCGAGCGUUGUUCGGAAUCACUGGGCGUAAAGGGCGCGUAGGCGGCGCUGGUCGUCAACGGUGAAAGUUCGGGGCUCAACCCUGAAUCGGCCGUCGAUACUCCUGGGCUCGAGCACUGUAGAGGCAGAUGGAAUUCCGGGUGUAGCGGUGGAAUGCGUAGAGAUCGGAAGGAACGCCCGUGGCGAAAGCGAGGUCCUGGACGCCUACUGACGCUGAGACGCGAAAGCCAGGGGAGCGAACGGG
rnacentral:rRNA from 1 species